GCAAGAGGAAGAUAGAAAUUCAAAAGUCUGUCAAUCCACUGAUGUUAGUGUGAUGUGAAUAUUAAUCCCGACAGGUUCUGAUUGC